AAAACAAAACCAAAAAAUGU
rnacentral:miRNA from 1 species